GACCCGGAGACAGGUGCUGCAUGGCUGUCGUCAGCUCGUGUCGUGAGAUGUUGGGUUAAGUCCCGCAACGAGCGCAACCCUUGUCUUUAGUUGCCAUCAUUAAGUUGGGUCGACUCUAAGAAGGACUGCCGGUGUCAAACCGGAGGAAGGUGGGGAUGACGUCAAGUCCUCAUGGCCUUUAUGACCAGGGCUACACACGUACUACAAUGGCAGGUACAAAGGGCAGCCACUUAGCGAUAAGGCGCGAAUCCCGUAAAACCUGUCUCAGUCCGGAUUGGAGUCUGCAACUCGACUCCAUGAAGUUGGAAUCGCUAGUAAUCGCAGAUCAGCGCGCUGCGGUGAAUACGUUCCCGGGCCUU
rnacentral:rRNA from 1 species